GAUAAGAACUCUCCGAAAAAAUUACGCUGUUAUCCCUAAGGUAAGUUAAUCUUAUAAUCAAAAAUUUUGGAUCAAAAAAACAUAAAUUAAUGAAAAAAGGUAUUAAAAGUUAAAUAAAUUUUAAUGUCACCCCAACAAAACUUUAUAUUCUAAAAAAUUGUUUAAUAAACAAAAAACAAUAAUUAAUAAAUAAAGUGAACUUCUAUAGGGUCUUCUCGUCCUAUAAAAAAAUUUUAGCUUUUUAACUAAAAAAUUAAAUUCAAAAUAAUUAAAAAAAGAAAGAUUAUUUUUCAUCAAACCAUUCAUACUAGCCUUCAAUUAAAAGACAAAUGAUUAUGCUACCUUCGUACAGUUAAAAUACCGCAGCCUUUUAAUUAGAAAAAAUCAAUGGGCAGGCCUGAUCUUAAAUUAAAAUCAAAAGACC
rnacentral:rRNA from 1 species